rnacentral:lncRNA from 1 species
AUGAUUGCCCCGGUGAUCGACGAACUGGCAAAGGACUACGUGGGGAAGAUCAAGUGCUGCAAAGUGAACACGGACGACUGCCCAAACAUCGCAUCCACCUACGGCAUCCGGAGCAUCCCCACCGUGCUCAUGUUCAAGGACGGCGAGAAGAAGGAGAGCGUCAUCGGCGCCGUCCCGAAGACCACCCUCUGCACCAUCAUCGACAAGUACAUCGGCAGCUAAUUAAUCAUUCUUCAUUACCGAUUAAUCGAGGACGCACACAUUACUGUUCUGUUCGCCAGACAGCAUAUAUGUAUGUAUAUGAUGCACGUAUACGAUCCACCGAUCAGUCGUGACUUGUACUACUCUUAAUUCAGAUGCAAAUCAAAACUGAUUUAUUCGGGCG